GGAUAUGAGGGAGGCCUGGCUGUGGUAUCCGUUACCUCACUAACUGUCAGGACUGAUUUGGCGGGCGAGGCAAGUAUCCCUUUCCUCCCUCACUGCUCCAUGUUUGCCCCUCUUGAAGCUGAGCACUCAGUCCGUCAAAAAUGACAAAAUCCCCCCAAAAGAAAAGUCAAAGGGACAAAGGCAUAUGAGAAGCUGUGCUCCCUGAUAGAACAUCCAAAGUUUGCACUUUAAAAACCUGAACUCCCGUCAAGCCUAUUCCUCUAUGAAAUACAGUGGAUUUGUUCCUUAUCUUUAAUU
rnacentral:snRNA from 1 species